UACGUAGGGUGCAAGCGUUGUCCGGAAUUAUUGGGCGUAAAGAGCUCGUAGGCGGUCUGUCGCGUCGGCUGUGAAAACUCGGGGCUCAACCCCGAGCCUGCAGUCGAUACGGGCAGACUAGAGUGCGGUAGGGGAGACUGGAAUUCCUGGUGUAGCGGUGAAAUGCGCAGAUAUCGGAAGGAACAUCAGUGGCGAAAGCGGCUUCCUGGACCAGAACUGACGAUCAGGCUCGAAAGCGUGGGGAGCAAACAGG
rnacentral:rRNA from 1 species